rnacentral:lncRNA from 1 species
AAAUUCACAAAAAAUAUCAAAUGACAAAAUAAAAAAUAUUAAAAAUCAGAAAUAGAAACUAGAAUUUAUUUGGGAAAUAACGCAAUUGGUCCCAUAAUUUUUGGAUUAAAAAUGAAAGAGAUAUGAUUUGUUGAAAUAAAAGGAAUUAAAGAAAAUAAAAUCAGAAAAUAAAAAAGGCAAAAAAACAAGGAGCGUUGGAUCU